rnacentral:rRNA from 1 species
GCUAAAUAUUUCCACAGGACCGAUAGCAAACAAGUACCGUGAGGGAAAGUUGAAAAGCACUCUGAAGAGAGAGUCAAAAGACCGUGAAACCGCUCAGGGUAUAAGCCCAUGGUGAUUUGGAAGGCAAUAACGCACUAGCCUGAGGGUCUGUCAUUUUACGAUGGAAAGAACUGUCAUGUACACGCACUUGGGAGGUAAGAGGUCUACUUCGUUCAUAGUCUCUGCCGGCCGGGAGUCGAGUUGGGAGUCGUUGGCUGCGUGUCAAAGCGUUUGUUCUCGGCUCUCGCUCUUCUCUUAUGUCGACCCUCCAGGAGGUGGGACUAGCAUGACUGCGUUAAUUAUGCCCACCACAACACGUUGUGAGGUCACCCACAGGCUCGACUGUCGAUUGCGUAUUCAUUUCCGGGCAGGCUGCGGCAGAGUCGUUACCAUGAGAGGUUCGGCGAUGCAGCUCUGUUCGGGGUGGGUCGGGCGACGACUGAGUUCUGGUAUGAUCCUCUUGCGACGCGUUGUUUUCUGACCUUAACAGUUCGCCGCGGUUUCACCUUGUCGUGUUUCCGUGUGUUAUCCAGAGUUUGUACAUCCCUCGCUGUCAUUCUGGAAGGCAGUUUGAAGUCCCCUGAUGGAUUUAACCAUCAAGGCCUCUGCCGCGAAAUUGUUGAGUGUGGUGUAAAGUCCAAAGCCAUCGGUCACGUCUCGAAACACGGG